rnacentral:rRNA from 1 species
AGGGAAUCUUCCGCAAUGGACGAAAGUCUGACGGAGCAACGCCGCGUGAGUGAAGAAGGCCUUCGGGUCGUAAAACUCUGUUGCCGGGGAAGAACAAGUGCCGUUCGAACAGGGCGGCGCCUUGACGGUACCCGGCCAGAAAGCCACGGCUAACUACGUGCCAGCAGCCGCGGUAAUACGUAGGUGGCAAGCGUUGUCCGGAAUUAUUGGGCGUAAAGCGCGCGCAGGCGGCUUCUUAAGUCUGAUGUGAAAGCUUGGGGCUCAACCGCGAGCGGUCAUUGGAAACUGGGAGGCUUGAGUGCAGAAGAGGAGAGUGGAAUUCCACGUGUAGCGGUGAAAUGCGUAGAGAUGUGGAGGAACACCAGUGGCGAAGGCGGCUCUCUGGACUGUAACUGACGCUGAGGCACGAAAGCGUGGGUAGCAAAC